CAUGUAUUUUUUGUGCACAAUAGACCAUUAAAGUUAAAUUUUACAUAUCGAUUACACCAUUAUUUAACCUGAUACAGGUAGAACCGGUUAAUUUUAUGAUGUGGCACUAUAAAUUAAAUUUCUUUAUAUCUUUUAAGUCCACGUAAAUUUGGUAUUAGUCAAACAACAAACAUUGACUAAGUCCUUUUGCAUUCAAUACCCUUUAGCUUUUGUUCUUCCAAUUCAAGAGUUAGGCUUCACCUAAAUGGGAACCACCGCCUUCGCCUACUGCCUGGAAUUGAACAUCAACUAUGGUUAUGCCUGAAUCGAAUCAAACCACAAGUCUAGAUCACUAAACUACCUUUCCCCACCGCCUUCUCAUGUUAAACAACUUUCAUCUUCUCCAAGAACUCCGGCUCACCUGAAAACUCAAAGUAAUCGCACUCUGAUUCAAUACAUGCAGCGUUUAUGAGCUCACUGUAAAGGUGACAAAAGCCAACGCAAUCGACGACGAGCUCAGCUUGGAAGCCAUCAGAUAAAGAGAGGGUAGAUCAGAUGUAUCAACAGCGAGUAAGGAGACAGUGGGGUGAGAUGUGGAUGCCUAUUUUAGGGUUGGGGAGAGUUUAGAAGUGAAUCGACCGGAUAGAGCGAAGGUUUUGGAAGCCACAAUUACAAAGCACUGUUAAUCAUGGGUUGCUCUGUGUAUUUGCUUGUGUAUCUGCGGGUAGAGUAGGAUCAGGAGUUUACGUGUGAUUUCUAAUUGUAUUUUGGUUUGUAUCGAUUUUUUUUGCAUUUACAGAUUUUAAGCUCUACCCAACAGUGUCUUCUUGGUCAGAUAAAAGAGACAAUAGACCCACUAGUAUCCGAAGGCAGAGAUGAGUACAGGAGUAGUUAUGAAUGAUGGUUUAAUUAACAAGAAGUCAGAUGGAUUCGGAGAAGGCGGCUAAGUUAAGAAUGCAUAUACAGUCUUCCCAUCUUCUUUUAUGGCUUUUAUAGUAAAGAGGUUUCACGUCGAUGGGAGGCGGUGAGUAACGAUGGCGCGACUUUUGCCAUGGAACGGUGGUAGAAUACAGUUGAGGGAAAAAGAGAUAUGCUUGAGGUUUCUACGUUGAGAGAGAGAGAGAGAGAGAGAGAGAAUGGAAAAAAAAGUGGUAGGUAAAGUUUGGAUUUUUUAUUUUGUAAAAAAUAGUAAAAAGCCACAUGGACUAAGUGUGACCGGUGAAACCAGAAUUAUCUUGGAUGUUUCCUUAUUUAACAGGUCAAUUGAUACUUUAA